rnacentral:rRNA from 1 species
AGUGAACGCUGGCGGUAGGCCUAACACAUGCAAGUCGAACGGCAGCACAGUAAGAGCUUGCUCUUACGGGUGGCGAGUGGCGGACGGGUGAGGAAUACAUCGGAAUCUACUUUUUCGUGGGGGAUAACGUAGGGAAACUUACGCUAAUACCGCAUACGACCUACGGGUGAAAGCAGGGGAUCUUCGGACCUUGCGCGAUUGAAUGAGCCGAUGUCGGAUUAGCUAGUUGGCGGGGUAAAGGCCCACCAAGGCGACGAUCCGUAACUGGUCUGAGAGGAUUAUCAGCCACACUGGAACUGAGACACGGUCCAGACUCCUACGGGAGGCAGCAGUGGGGAAUAUUGGACAAUGGGCGCAAGCCUGAUCCAGCCAUACCGCGUGGGUGAAGAAGGCCUUCGGGUUGUAAAGCCCUUUUGUUGGGAAAGAAAAGCAGCAGGUUAAUACCCCGCUGUUCUGACGGUACCCAAAGAAUAAGCACCGGCUAACUUCGUG